UCUUACAUACAUACUGGGGGGGCUGAAAAGUUCCUGGCUUGGGUAAAAGAAAAUACAGGGGGAUCAGUUAAUUAUGGUUUUAUUCAACAUAUUUCCCUCUCAGAUUAACACACUCAUUGCAGCGAUCUUUCGGUUUUUCUUCUAAGUCCUGUAAAAGAACU